rnacentral:rRNA from 1 species
AGAGUUUGAUCAUGGCUCAGGAUGAACGCUGGCGGCGUGCUUAACACAUGCAAGUCGAACGAACCUUCGGGUUAGUGGCGGACGGGUGAGUAACGCGUGAGAAUCUGCCCUCAGGAGGGGGAUAACGGUUGGAAACGACCGCUAAUACCCCAUAUGCCUACUGGUGAAACGAAUUUCGCCUGAGGAUGAGCUCGCGUCUGAUUAGCUAGUUGGUGAGGUAAUGGCUCACCAAGGCUUCGAUCAGUAGCUGGUCUGAGAGGAUGAUCAGCCACACUGGGACUGAGACACGGCCCAGACUCCUACGGGAGGCAGCAGUGGGGAAUUUUCCGCAAUGGGCGAAAGCCUGACGGAGCAACGCCGCGUGAGGGACGAAGGCCUCUGGGCUGUAAACCUCUUUUCUCAAGGAAGAAGAUAUGACGGUACUUGAGGAAUAAGCCACGGCUAAUUCCGUGCCAGCAGCCGCGGUAAUACGGGAGUGGCAAGCGUUAUCCGGAAUUAUUGGGCGUAAAGCGUCCGCAGGCGGCUUUUCAAGUCUGCUGUUAAAGCGUGGAGCUUAACUCCAUCAUGGCAGUGGAAACUGAAAGGCUUGAGUAUGGUAGGGGCAGAGGGAAUUCCCGGUGUAGCGGUGAAAUGCGUAGAUAUCGGGAAGAACACCAGUGGCGAAGGCGCUCUGCUGGGCCAUUACUGACGCUCAUGGACGAAAGCCAGGGGAGCGAAAGGGAUUAGAUACCCCUGUAGUCCUGGCCGUAAACGAUGAACACUAGGUGUCGGGGGAAUCGACCCCUUCGGUGUCGUAGCUAACGCGUUAAGUGUUCCGCCUGGGGAGUACGCACGCAAGUGUGAAACUCAAAGGAAUUGACGGGGGCCCGCACAAGCGGUGGAGUAUGUGGUUUAAUUCGAUGCAACGCGAAGAACCUUACCAGGGUUUGACAUCCUGCGAACCUCUUAGAAAUUUGAGGGUGCCUUCGGGAAUGCAGUGACAGGUGGUGCAUGGCUGUCGUCAGCUCGUGUCGUGAGAUGUUGGGUUAAGUCCCGCAACGAGCGCAACCCACGUUUUUAGUUGCCAGCAUUUAGUUGGGCACUCUAGAAAGACCGCCGGUGAUAAACCGGAGGAAGGUGUGGAUGACGUCAAGUCAUCAUGCCCCUUACACCCUGGGCUACACACGUACUACAAUGCUACGGACAAAGGGCAGCAAACUCGCGAGAGCUAGCAAAUCCCAUAAACCGUGGCUCAGUUCAGAUCGUAGGCUGCAACUCGCCUACGUGAAGUAGGAAUCGCUAGUAAUCGCAGGUCAGCAUACUGCGGUGAAUACGUUCCCGGGCCUUGUACACACCGCCCGUCACACCAUGGAAGUUGGCCAUGCCCGAAGUCGUUACUCCAACCCUUGUGGAGGAGGACGCCGAAGGUGGGGCUAAUGACUGGGGUGAAGUCGUAACAAGGUAACCGUA